rnacentral:tRNA from 1 species
GUCGGAGUAGUUUAGUGGCUAGAACGCUACGCUCAUGACGUAGAGAUCGGGAGUUCAAAUCUCCCCUCCGACA